UACGUAGGGGGCAAGCGUUGUCCGGAUUUACUGGGCGUAAAGAGCGUGUAGGCGGCCACGCAGGUCCGUUGUGAAAACUGGAGGCUCAACCUCCAGCUGUCGACGGAAACCGUAUGGCUAGAGUCCGGAAGAGGAGAGUGGAAUUCCUGGUGUAGCGGUGAAAUGCGCAGAUAUCAGGAGGAACACCGAUGGCGAAGGCAGGUCUCUGGGCAUUAACUGACGCUGAGGAGCGAAAGCAUGGGGAGCGAACAGG
rnacentral:rRNA from 1 species